rnacentral:sRNA from 1 species
CAAAUGCGUUUCACAUCAAGUGUUGAUCGGGCCAUUGUCUCUGAAACAUUUGUUUUAGAGCUAUGUUGGUGUACUGGUGUAGGAUCUAUGUUCGUGCACUAGAUUUAGGAACUCGUUCUCACUCACUUCGUUGCUAGGGCAAGCCUAGAGAAGAUAGCUAGGGUUUAUUAAUUUGUUCAAAGAUCAAUUGAUUUGUUUAUCCCCAAAAUCCCUAAAUCUUAAAAUCCUAGAUCGCUCUCUUCUUUCUUGUGAUUGAAACACACUGAUUCUUCGCACAGAAUGUUGUAUUGUUAAGAGAUUGAGAUUGAAGCGAAGGCGCUGCGUUUUGAGGAGGUUGAGUCUUCUGAAAUUGUAGGACUCUUAAUCACUAUUGAAUGUGGAAGGUUAAAAGUUUCCAUGGGUGAAAUUGCUAUACUACCUCAAGGUUUUCGUUUUUCUUUGUUGCAGUUCAAGAUUUUUCUCCCUUCAAUAUCUUUACUUGGCAUGGGUUUCAUCACAAAUAAUGAAAGGGCAUUAGAGGAGCUAUUUGUAGAUGAAGAAGAUAAUUAUAGCAGUGUUGCAUGUUCGAAUGUGACAGCAAAAUGAAUUGCUACAGUUUUUGCUUCUUUAAGAGGAUAAUUAUAGCGGUAAUACUAGAGAUUUGACAUCCUCUUUUCUAAUUCUC